GACGAACGCUGGCGGCGUGCCUAAUACAUGCAAGUAGAACGCUGAAGGAGGAGCUUGCUUCUCUGGAUGAGUUGCGAACGGGUGAGUAACGCGUAGGUAACCUGCCUGGUAGCGGGGGAUAACUAUUGGAAACGAUAGCUAAUACCGCAUAAGAGUAGAUGUUGCAUGACAUUUGCUUAAAAGGUGCAAUUGCAUCACUACCAGAUGGACCUGCGUUGUAUUAGCUAGUUGGUGGGGUAACGGCUUACCAAGGCGACGAUACAUAGCCGACCUGAGAGGGGGAGCGGCCACACUGGGACGGAGACACGGCCCAGACUCCUACGGGAGGCAGCAGUAGGGAAUCUUCGGCAAUGGACGGAAGUCUGACCGAGCAACGCCGCGUGAGUGAAGAAGGGUGUCGGAUCGUAAAGCUCUGUUGUAAGAGAAGAACGAGUGUGAGAGUGGAAAGUUCACACUGUGACGGUAUCUUACCAGAAAGGGACGGCUAACUACGUG
rnacentral:rRNA from 1 species